UCAUGUGAUGACUCCGGUGAUGUUGGAGGCAGCAUGUGACUCCCAGGGCUACGUGGGCUCAAAAACAAUUUAAAUACAAAAACACAAGCAGGUUCCCCUCCUCUCUUUUGCCUUUUGGUCUGGCUCUCCCUCCCUUUGGGCUGGUGCCCGACUGAAUGGAAAACCCGUCAUCUUGCAGGCACUAACCUGUGAGGACCGGGUACCUGGAGACCAGGCCCCCUCUGCUGGGGGUCCCCCAGGAGCUGUGCCCCAUCAUUCUGCAGCCCACUGACUCCCAGCCUGGCGGGGAUGAGGAGAAAAGAUGGAACAGGCACACAAAGACUCCUAAAUUUGGUACUGGGAAGAUGAAGAGCUUGCUGUGUGUCAACUUUUGUUUACAACAAAGGCAAGGUCAUUAGCAGAGAGUAAAGGAGAUGGAAAGAGGAAAGAGAGGACAUAUAAACUGGUCCUCUUGGAGAGGGAGAAAUAAGCACUGUAAAGGAGGGAGCAGGGUUGCUACAUCAAACAGAGUGCCUAUGAAGAGUAUGUAUUGGGUCAUUUUCUCCACCGUCGUUUAAAUGCUUGGGUUCAAGCACCUGGAGACGGGAGUGUCAUCACGUUGAAGUUUUGCUGGACAAAUCCCACAGGAGAGAUGUUGAAGGGGUUUACAAGGGAGUGAUGGUCCAGGUGAGCCACAGAAUCUAAGUUGGGCCAGAAUG